UACAGAGGGGGCAAGCGUUAUUCGGAAUUAUUGGGCGUAAAGGGCGCGUAGACGGCUUUGCAAGUGACGGGUGAAAUCCCUCGGCUUAACCGAGGAACUGCCUGUCAAACUGCAUGGCUUGAGACCGGGAGAGGUGAGUGGAAUUCCCAGUGUAGCGGUGAAAUACGUAGAUAUUGGGAGGAACACCAGUGGCGAAGGCGGCUCACUGGACCGGUACUGACGCUGAUGCGCGAAAGCGUGGGGAGCAAACAGG
rnacentral:rRNA from 1 species